UAGAAACACAGAUGGAGGCCCAGGGAUGGGAAAACUUGGGGCCAAAGCAAGCAGCCUGUGGGCCAGGGAGGAGAAGCAGGCCGUGAGUAGAGCUGCCGUCUUCUUGGGCACGGAAAGCAACAAAGCUGCCAAGGCAAAAAGACCAGUUUUCCAAGAAGCUGGAGGAGUGCCAACAUCAUUCUCCGAUGAACAAACUUGGAAACCAAAGAAUUAGUCAACGAAGCUGGAGGCUCGCCUACAGAAUGCUUGGCAUGGCACAGGCUGCUCCGGAGGGCAAGGAGAAGGACCGCCAGACAGCCAAGGCGCAAGGGGUAUAGCAACACCUGACCCACAGAGGGAUUUUACACAAGCCCCUAGAGAGCCACCUACAACUCCACCAAGCAGGUGUACAGACCGAAG
rnacentral:lncRNA from 1 species